rnacentral:rRNA from 1 species
UACGGAGGAUCCAAGCGUUAUCCGGAAUCAUUGGGUUUAAAGGGUCCGUAGGCGGGUCUGUAAGUCAGUGGUGAAAUCUCCCGGCUCAACCGGGAAACUGCCAUUGAUACUGCAGGUCUUGAAUGUCUGUGAAGUAACUAGAAUAUGUAGUGUAGCGGUGAAAUGCUUAGAGAUUACAUGGAAUACCGAUUGCGAAGGCAGGUUACUAACAGAUGAUUGACGCUGAUGGACGAAAGCGUGGGGAGCGAACAGG